GACAGAGGGUGCAAACGUUGUUCGGAAUUACUGGGCGUAAAGCGCGUGUAGGCUGCCCCGCAAGUCGGAUGUGAAAGCCCUGGGCUCAACCUAGGAAGUGCACUCGAAACUGCGGGGCUGGAGUCCUGGAGAGGAAGGCGGAAUUCUCGGUGUAGAGGUGAAAUUCGUAGAUAUCGAGAGGAACACCGGUGGCGAAGGCGGCCUUCUGGACAGUGACUGACGCUGAGACGCGAAAGCGUGGGGAGCAAAAGGG
rnacentral:rRNA from 1 species